rnacentral:tRNA from 1 species
GCACCGGUAGUCCAGUUGGUAAGACGUCACCCUGCCACGGUGGAGACCCGGGUUCAAAUCCCGGCCGGUGCA